AUGCUAUGGUGUGGACAUUCUCUCUGCAGGUCUUUAUACCUUUCCCAUGUGUCAUAGAGUGAUUCUCCUUCCUUUUGUCUAAAAGUGUUGAGUUCAAACCUCAGUUU